rnacentral:rRNA from 1 species
GAUGAACGCUAGCUACAGGCUUAGCACAUGCAAGUCGAGGGGCAGCAUGACCUAGCAAUAGGUUGAUGGCGACCGGCGCACGGGUGAGUAACACGUAUCCAACCUGCCGAUUAUUCCGGGAUAGCCUUUCGAAAGAAAGAUUAAUACUGGAUAGCAUAACGAGAAGGCAUCUUCUUGUUAUUAAAGAAUUUCGAUAAUCGAUGGGGAUGCGUUCCAUUAGUUUGUUGGCGGGGUAACGGCCCACCAAGACAUCGAUGGAUAGGGGUUCUGAGAGGAAGGUCCCCCACAUUGGAACUGAGACACGGUCCAAACUCCUACGGGAGGCAGCAGUGAGGAAUAUUGGUCAAUGGACGAGAGUCUGAACCAGCCAAGUAGCGUGAAGGAUGACUGCCCUAUGGGUUGUAAACUUCUUUUAUAUGGGAAUAGAGUGGGCCACGUGUGGCUUUUUGUAUGUACCAUACGAAUAAGGAUCGGCUAACUCCGUG